UGGGUCAAAAAGUUGUAACAAUUUAAAAAGGAAAAUAAAAAAAAUCUUACCUAUGGAAAUUGAUAACUUGGAUUUGGCUUUAAUAAGAUUAGACGAUUUCAGGUAAUAAAAUAAACUCUUUUUUAAUUCUUGCGAUUUCAUAAACAUGACAAAAUAUAUCUUGGUCAAUUUACAUUAUUAUCUAAGGAAAUUAUCUCCCCCUUAAUUUAUCAAAUUGUUGAAUAAGUUAUCUCCCCUGGUAAUUUCACUUUUUUUCUUUCUUUUUUUUUUUUUAAAUAUAUGCAAUUCCAGUCUCUGGUGCUUAAUUUCUAUCUAUUUUGUUCACUUCUACAAGAAUACAUAGUGAUAGUAGGGAUGUGAGAUCAGCAACAGAAAUUAAAUAAGUUAAUUGUUUUGUUGGUAUUUAGAAUUCUCUGAUCACUUAGAAUAAAAGAGAAAACAAUGAUAAAUUUUUGGUGAACUAUUUGUCUAGAUCAUGUUCAGUGUUUCCCCUAUCCCAUGUUUAAUUAACCUGAAAGAUAUGGGUAUUUGACAGAAAGUUUGGUGAUAAUUAAAUUUAAAGGAUGGGUGCGUAUAUAUAGAGAAGAUGAGAGUUUCAAAUUUUAAAUGAAUGGGACAACAACUUAUGCAUAAGGUUCCUUUAUUAUAAAUCUUCUAGCAAAGACACUGAUGUAAAUUUGUGCAAUUAUAUCAUUUUGUGCAUUCAACAUGUUCAGCAUUACAAUUAAACUGAUUUAGGAAACAUGCUACAUAUUUAAAAGUAAACGAC
rnacentral:lncRNA from 1 species